rnacentral:rRNA from 1 species
CCUACGGGAGGCAGCAGUGGGGGAUAUUGCACAAUGGGGGGAACCCUGAUGCAGCGACGCCGCGUGAGUGAAGAAGUAAUUCGUUAUGUAAAGCUCUAUCAGCAGGGAAGAAAAUGACGGUACCUGAGUAAGAAUCCCCGGCUAACUACGUUCCAGCAGCCGCGGUAAUACGUAGGGGGCAAGCGUUAUCCGGAUUUACUGGGGGUAAAGGGAGCGUAGACGGGAGUGCAAGUCUGGAGUGAAAGGCGGGGGCUCAACCCCCGGACUGCUCUGGAAACUGUACGGCUGGAGUGCAGGAGAGGUAAGUGGAAAUCCUAGUGUAGCGGUGAAAUGCGUAGAUAUUAGGAGGAACACCAGUGGCGAAGG